GAUGAACGCUGGCGGCGUGCCUAAUACAUGCGAGUCGAGCGAACGGACGAGAAGCUUGCUUCUCUGAUGUUAGCGGCGGACGGGUGAGUAACACGUGGAUAACCUACCUAUAAGACUGGGAUAACUUCGGGAAACCGGAGCUAAUACCGGAUAAUAUUUUGAACCGCAUGAUUCAAAAGUGAAAGACGGUUUUGCUGUCACUUAUAGAUGGAUCCGCGCUGCAUUAGCUAGUUGGUAAGGUAACGGCUUACCAAGGCAACGAUGCAUAGCCGACCUGAGAGGGUGAUCGGCCACACUGGAACUGAGACACGGUCCAGACUCCUACGGGAGGCAGCAGUAGGGAAUCUUCCGCAAUGGGCGAAAGCCUGACGGAGCAACGCCGCGUGAGUGAUGAAGGUCUUCGGAUCGUAAAACUCUGUUAUUAGGGAAGAACAUAUGUGUAAGUAACUGUGCACAUCUUGACGGUACCUAAUCAGAAAGCCACGGCUAACUACGUG
rnacentral:rRNA from 1 species